AACAAAAACAUCUCUUUAUGUUUAUAUAUAAAGUAUAACCUGCCCAAUGAUUAUAAUUUAAUGGCCGCAGUAUUUUGACUGUGCAAAGGUAGCAUAAUAAUUAGUUUUUUAAUUAAAAGCUUGUAUGAAUGGUUUAAUGAGAUAAAAACUUUAUUAUUUUAAUUAAGAUUAGAAUUUAAUUUUUUAGUUAAAAAGCUUAAAUUAUUUUAAAAGACGAGAAGACCCUAUAGAUCUUUAUUUAAAUUUAAUAAAGAUAAUUUUAGAAAAUAUUAAUAUUUUAUUAAAUUAAAUUUUAUUGGGGUAAUAUAAAAAUUUAAAAAAUUUUUUAUGUUUGAAAACAUAAAUUUAUGGAAAAUUGAUCCUUUAAUAAAGAUUAUAAGAUUAAGUUACCUUAGGGAUAACAGCGUAAUUUUUUUGGAGAGUUCUUAUCAAUAAAAAAGAUUGCGACCUCGAUGUUG
rnacentral:rRNA from 1 species